UACGGGGGGGGCAAGCGUUGUUCGGAAUUACUGGGCGUAAAGGGCUCGUAGGCGGCCAACUAAGUCAGACGUGAAAUCCCUCGGCUUAACCGGGGAACUGCGUCUGAUACUGGAUGGCUUGAAUCCGGGAGAGGGAUGCGGAAUUCCAGGUGUAGCGGUGAAAUGCGUAGAUAUCUGGAGGAACACCGGUAGCGAAGGCGGCAUCCUGGACCGGCAUUGACGCUGAGGAGCGAAAGCGUGGGGAGCAAACAGG
rnacentral:rRNA from 1 species